rnacentral:lncRNA from 10 species
ACAGGCUCAGAAAACCCCUUGGAAGAGGUCCCACUUGCAGAACUAUAGCCACAAUAGGCCCCACCACCUGAUGAAAUUUACAACAAUCUACCUUCACUCUCUAAGCAGAAUGGAUCCUGUACCAGGCAAACAGGUGGAAAAGAGAGGGAUUCUAAUUAAAUCAAUUGAAGCUUUUCUAUUUCGCAAGACUCUGCCAGAAGAUGUGUGUAGCUGAAGAAUUUUAAGUGGAAAGAGGCAACCUCCCAUAAAUCUUCCUUUAGUAUAUUCAUAUCUGACCCAUGUUAGACAAUUAGGUCCCUCAUGGGAUAUGAACAGAAAGGAGGUGGGAAACAGGGUGGGAAAGAGGCUGGAUGCUGCUGUCUUUUUCUUUUGUCUUCAGAAAAAAUCAUGGCCCCAAGGGAUCAGACUUAAUCUCCUUUUAUGGAGAAGGUAUAGAGAACAAGGGCAAAAGGAUGAAAGAAAGAAAGCUAGAAGGGAAAGGAAUAGCUUGGAUUAUUUAAA